GACAGCAUUGAUACUCAACCUUAAUGAGCAAGAAACACUAGCCGUUUUAUACUGCGAAGUUCUUCUUCUGAUCUUCUCGGCUAAGCGCGCUAGCUCGCUCGCUGCAACAAUGGUUCUCGAGGCGACUAUGAUAUGUAUCGAUAAUUCCGAAUGGAUGCGAAAUGGCGAUUACUCUCCUUGUCGAUUUCAAGCUCAAGCAGAUGCUGUUAAUCUCAUCUGUGGCGCCAAAACACAAUCGAAUCCAGAGAAUACAGUGGGGAUUCUAACAAUGGCAGGCAGAGGAGUGCGUGUUUUGACCACUCCUACUACUGACCUUGGCAAAAUUUUGGCUUGUAUGCAUGAUGUUGAAAUGGGGGGUGAGAUGAACAUGGCAGCUGGAAUCCAGGUUGCUCAACUAGCUCUUAAGCAUCGCCAGAACAAAAAUCAGCAGCAAAGAAUAAUAGUCUUUGCUGGAAGUCCUGUCAAAUAUGACAAAAGGGUGCUGGAGGUCAUAGGGAAGACAUUGAAGAAGAACAGCGUAGCUCUUGAUAUUGUUAAUUUUGGUGAAGAAGAUGGUCGAAAGCCAGAGAAGUUAGAGGCCCUCCUUUCUGCUGUGAACAAUAAUGACAGCAGCCAUAUAGUUCACAUUCCUCCUGGUCCAAAUGCCCUCUCUGAUGUGCUUAUCAGUACUCCUGUACUCAAUGGGGAGGGGGGAGGAAGUGAACUUCCUGCAGCAGCAGGAGGGAAUGACUUUGAUUUUGGUGUAGAUCCUAACUUAGAUCCUGAGCUAGCUCUUGCCCUUAGAGUUUCUAUGGAAGAAGAGAGGGCAAGGCAAGAAGCUGCUGCCAAGAGGGCUGCUGAGGAAUCAGCUAGACAAGAAAAGGUAGAGGAACCAUCAUCCAAUUCCCAGGAUGCAACUAUGGUUGAUAGUGCUGAUGAUAGAGCUUCUGAAGCAUCUGGGAACAACACUGAUCCAGGGCAGGCUAUAACACUGUCAAUGCAAACUCCUGGACAUAAUGAUCCCUCUGUGCAUGAUGUUGAUAUGUCAGAAGCAACUCAUGAGGAUGAGGAGUUGGCUAUUGCUCUUCAAAUGUCCAGGCAAGAUGAUGCAAAAGAUUCAUCAAGUCAAUCAGAUAUGAGCAAGGCGCUGGAGGAUCAGUCCUUUGUGUCAUCUGUCCUUGCAUCACUUCCAGGAGUUGACCCUAAUGAUCCUUCAGUUAAAGAUCUGCUUGCAUCUUUGCAAGGCCAAUCUGAGUCUAAACAAAAGAAGAAGGAAGAUGAGCCACCAAAUGAUGAGAAGUGAAGUUUGUUCUCCGUGAAGGCUUCUAUAUCAAUUGCAAUCUGCCUUGGAUGGAGUAUUUACUUUAUUGAAUUGAGGAAGGCUUCUAUUCAUCUUGACAAUAUGGUACAAGAACAAAUAGAAUAAGUUGGUAGUAUACACUUGCUGAAUUCACU
rnacentral:misc_RNA from 1 species